GAGUUCAAACGUGUGCUCUUCCCACCUACACUAAAGAAGACCUAAACUGGAUCCAAAAAUUGCCUAUGACUCAGUGCCUUAAUGGAUGGUGGAGAGCAGCAGACUGUAGCAUAAUCCUCCCAGAAGAAAUGGGAAAUAAAGUCUUAUCCAAGAUGCACCGAGCCACUCAUAUGGGCACAAGAAAAAUGCAAGACUUAAUAAGACAUGCUAGGAUCACCAUUAAAGACUCUAGGACAAAAAUUGAACAGAUAGUUACUAGCUGUAAACCUUGCCAAUU